AUUGAACGCUGGCGGCAGGCCUAACACAUGCAAGUCGAGCGGAGCGGAGGACGCGUGAGUAAUGCCUAGGUAUCUGCCUGGUAGUGGUGGAUAACGUUCGGUAACGGGCGCUAAUACCGCAACCUAUCAGAUGAACCUAGGCCGGAUUAGCUAGUUGGUGGGGUAAAGGCCUACCAAGGCGACGAUCCGUAACUGGUCUGAGAGGAUGAUCAGUCACACUGGAACUGAGACACGGUCCAGACUCCUACGGGAGGCAGCAGUGGGGAAUAUUGGACAAUGGGCGAAAGCCUGAUGCAGCCAUGCCGCGUGUGUGAAGAAGGUCUUCGGAUUGUAAAGCACUUUAAGUUGGGAGGCGUUACCAACAGAAUAAGCACCGGCUAACUUCGUGCCAGCAGCCGCGGUAAUAC
rnacentral:rRNA from 1 species